GCUGAGGUAGCUUAGCCAGGCCUAAAGCGCCGGCCUUGAGAGCCGGUGGCGCCUUGGGCGCCGCGGGAGUUCAAAUCUCCCCCUCAGCGCCA
rnacentral:tRNA from 2 species